GCCGGCCGGCGGUUCCUCCUCCCCGAGUGCACAAAACCCCUCGGCCACUUCUAUUUCUUCCUCCCAAGCCGCACACCCGAAGCCUUCUCCUCUUCUCCUCUUCUCUGCCGCCGACCUUCCUCCGCGCUACUGCCGAACCCCGAUCUCCUCUGUGCCCUAGCAUCUCCGCCGACGCCAGCCACUCGAGUAGCGCUGGCCACCCCCGAUUCCGGCAACCGAGUACACUGUUGGGGUUCUUCCGUGCUGUAGCACUACCUCCGACCAUAUCUUUUCUCUGGUUUCUGGCGAUCAAGAAGGGUUUCAGUGAGUGAGGAGGUUUGCCAGCAUCUACUUCUUCCGGCAGCAAUCCACUUUGACUGUGGGUUGAGCGGUAUCACAGUGUAUACCUCCGACCUUGAUCAACUGAGGAAUCCCUAUUUCUUGGUGAGUUUUUGUGUUCAUUUUGAUGGUUGAAUAAUUAGGGAUAUUGACUUCAAUGUAGGAGCCAUUGCUGUGAGUGAGUUGAUCAUUUUGUCGAUGAUUGACAGAUAGGUUAAUAACCAAUGUUAACCUAGGUAUAUGUGUUGAAUUAAGGAAUGGAUAUGGGUAUUAAAUAGUUUUGGAGAUUUUUAUUUAGCUAUAUAGCUAAAUACAUUGUCUGUUUGAUAUCACAGGAUUGUGACUCGAGACGGUGUCUCGACGAGGGAUCUGUUUCGGAUACGAUCUUUUCUAUUU